GUUUUUGAGGGUCUUGCAAUGCUUAAUUGAACACCUAAGAAUACAGAUGCAAAUUCAAAACCUUAUCACUCAUGGUCCCUUUAAUCUUCAAAUUUGAAUACCCACGUUUCUCUUAAUAACAAUACUAAGUUGAGUACAAUUUGAAUCUUUAGGGCAAGUUUUAGAUUUAGCAUCCAUGAUUACAGCCGAUCUUGACCUGAUCUUGCACAGCUGGCUCUCCAAGAAGGAUAUCACAUGAGCGGCGUUCACAAUGGUUGUUUGACCGAUGUGGAUCAUACAUGACAAGAACUAUUUUCUUUGAAGUGUUUCUAUACAAACGGUGUCUUGGUGAAUGGAGCUGGAUGGUCGUCUGGAUUCUUAGCUUCUUCGUGGUGCUGCGCCUUCUUGGCCUCAGCUCGGUCGGUGGCGGCGGCCUGGCGCGUGUCCUUGGUCAAAUCCGCGGCGAUGCCCGCCUCUUCGUCCCCUGCCCCUUUCAUCUUCUCGGCCUGCAUACAUCGCGCAUUGCAAUCCCGGGGAUCAAACUCUAAGCGAGAAAAGAAAAAACCCUAACCUGCGCUGAGAUCGUUGCUCCCGCCUUCUCCAAGUUCUCCUGCAUCGUCGCGCCCGCGUUCUUGAGGCCCUCCGCCACGGAAACCCCCUUGUCCUGCCCUGGUGCUUGCUUCAUCGCGAUCGAUUCUAGUCACAAAGAAACACAAUCCCUAGGAUCCUUCUUGCGAUGCUCUUCUUUUUCACUCCGCGGAGAACAAGCAAACUAGAUGCCACGUGUGAGGGUCCGUGGCGCAUUCUCA
rnacentral:lncRNA from 1 species